rnacentral:rRNA from 1 species
CUCCUUUGACGUUAGCGGCGGACGGGUGGGUAACACGUGGGUAACCUACCUAUAAGACUGGGAUAACUUCGGGAAACCGGAGCUAAUACCGGAUAAUAUUUCGAACCGCAUGGUUCGAUAGUGAAAGAUGGUUUUGCUAUCACUUAUAGAUGGACCCGCGCCGUAUUAGCUAGUUGGUAAGGUAACGGCUUACCAAGGCGACGAUACGUAGCCGACCUGAGAGGGUGAUCGGCCACACUGGAACUGAGACACGGUCCAGACUCCUACGGGAGGCAGCAGUC